GAUAUGUGUGAAUGAUGUCUUACUGGUAAAAAGACGGAACGUCCCUGCAUGUGUGAACAGCACAUUUUUUUGCACAAACUGUGAAUCUAAGCUGUAUAUAAAUCACUUUCUAUUCCUGUUCAUCAAUGUGUUUAUCCUGUAAUAAUCUCAGUUAUAUUGCGUUGUGUAAACACUGCUAAUGGUGUAAAAUGUGUCAUUUAAGACACGUCUGUUUAUAUGUUAUUGUGAUAAUGUAUGAGGGCAGAAGCUGUAGCUAUAUUUCUUAAUGUUAUGUAUGUUUAUGUGCAGUAGUGUUACUUUGGGAAUCCUGUUGUUAUCUGUUGCAGGGAAAACACAUCUCCACCUGCCUAUGAUCUAUAUGGCUGUGGCUACCCAGAUAGCAUGCAACCAUUGAAACAAUGUUAAAAAUUGUUGAUUUGUCAAUGUUAAUACAAUUGAAUCAAUAUCACGUUUGCACCCUCCAUUAAAGGACAAGUUCGGUAUUUUACACUUAAAGCCCUGUUUUCAGAUUGUUUAUGGUGAAAUAGAACGGUUUUGACUGAAAUUUCGACAUAUGCGGCUGCCCUGAGAAUUUUCGGGUGUUUGUGUUUCACCUCACACCUCUAAUGGGUUUAAUGGUGCACUGGAACAAUCCUUCCUAAAAUGCAUUAAACUUUCGUUUACAAAGACGUGAAACUCACUGAGUGGUCAGGGGUGUUCACUGAUAUGCUCACACAAAAAUCGCUGCAAAAGAUGCUUUCCAACAGCUGUUUUAGCAUUUGUUAACUUGUGGACCUUUUUUUCCAAACGCCUCACACCCGUACAUUCUUCCGCUUAGAGCUUGAAUAAUAGACACUCCAGCCCAGGUGGUGGCGGUAAUCCGCCAUUGCCAAUUGCAAGAAUAGAAACAAAUGCUGAGUCCCAAUCCCAAUUCGCAUACUAUCCAUCCUAAAUAGUAUUUGAAAUUAGUAUGUCCCAAAUCGUAGUAUGUUGAAAUGAGUAUCCCAAAGAUACCCGGAUGGUGUACUAUUUCCGGUUGGAAUUCGAAGUGCAGAUCAAUGCACACUGUAAGGGCUAAUAUUGCCCACAAUCAUUGCGUGCGGGAGGGAGGAGAUUAACCACACUGACCCUCUUGCUUAUUUGUAGUAAUACUGUGGCUGUACAAAUGUUAACUUUAUUAGUCCAACGAAAGAAACAUGGUUACUACACUUUUACUAUAGUAAAAGCAUGGUUCAUUUUCAUCUGGGUAUUUUUGAGUUAUAUAAAAUUAAGUAUAAAAUACGUUAAACGGUAGUUAUACUAUAAACUUUUUAAUAUUUUGACUUUAAAAUAAGUAGCUUUCGUUACACACAUUGCACAUGAACGUCAGAACCAGCCGCCUCACAAACGACCUGUGUUUGGUUCAAGAGGGUCUGGCUGCAGACCAUGGGCGAGUGGAGCUCCACUCUCAAACAGGAAACACGUGACCUCCACUAGCGGGCAAGCGGAAAUACGUCACCUCCACUAGCGGGCAAGCGGAAAUACGUCACCUCCACUUGAAUUUAUGAGAUGAAGAUGGCGUCGCCGGGAGCUCUUAGUUCGAACUUUAAUUCAGUUGCCAGAUGAUAUUCUCCAGAGGAUCCUUGUCUUUGUUGUUCUAGAAGACGGCUGCUCUGCAAUCCGGCUGGCUUUAACAAGACAGAGAUUCAGCAAACAUUGACAGCCAGGAGCAUUUUCAGCAGGAGGAACACUUCAGCUGGCCUUAUAGUGUAGUAAAUUGAAAUAGACUGUCAAAGAGACACCGGAGAAUGUACAGAAAACCGUAAAUCAUCUCUAGGUGUAGCCGCCUACAGUGCAGCAAGUUUUCAAAGACUAUGGGGCUGGCUUCUGGGGAAAUGACAACCCUGG